GUAGCGUGAAGGAUGACUGCCUAUGGGUUGUAAACUUCUUUUAUAUGGGAAUAAGUUUUCCACGUGUGGAAUUUUGUAUGUACCAUAUGAAUAAGGAUCGGCUAACUCCGUGCCAGCAGCCGCGGUAAUACGGAGGAUCCGAGCGUUAUCCGGAUUUAUUGGGUUUAAAGGGAGCGUAGGUGGACAGUUAAGUCAGUUGUGAAAGUUUGCGGCUCAACCGUAAAAUUGCAGUUGAUACUGGCUGUCUUGAGUACAGUAGAGGUGGGCGGAAUUCGUGGUGUAGC
rnacentral:rRNA from 1 species